rnacentral:rRNA from 1 species
GAUGAACGCUGGCGGCGUGCCUAAUACAUGCAAGUCGAACGCAUAGCGAAAGGUGCUUGCACCUUUCAAGUGAGUGGCGAACGGGUGAGUAACACGUGGACAACCUGCCUCAAGGCUGGGGAUAACAUUUGGAAACAGAUGCUAAUACCGAAUAAAACUUAGUGUCGCAUGACACAAAGUUAAAAGGCGCUUCGGCGUCACCUAGAGAUGGAUCCGCGGUGCAUUAGUUAGUUGGUGGGGUAAAGGCCUACCAAGACAAUGAUGCAUAGCCGAGUUGAGAGGCUGAUCGGCCACAUUGGGACUGAGACACGGCCCAAACUCCUACGGGAGGCUGCAGUAGGGAAUCUUCCACAAUGGGCGAAAGCCUGAUGGAGCAACGCCGCGUGUGUGAUGAAGGCUUUCGGGUCGUAAAGCACUGUUGUAUGGGAAGAACAGCUAGAAUAGGAAAUGAUUUUAGUUUGACGGUACCAUACCAGAAAGGGACGGCUAAAUACGUG